rnacentral:rRNA from 1 species
UUGAUCCUGGCUCAGAAUCAACGCUGGCGGCGUGCCUAACACAUGCAAGUCGAACGCGGUUAGUAGCAAUACUAACUGAGUGGCGAACGGGUGAGUAACUCGUGGGUGACCUACCUUCGAGUGGGGGAUAACGUCCCGAAAGGGACGCUUAUACCGCAUGACAUCCUGCCUUUGAACAGGCGGAGAUCAAAGCCGGGGAUCGCAAGACCUGGCGCUUGAUGAGGGGCCCGCGUCUGAUUAGCUAGUUGGUGAGGUAACGGCUCACCAAGGCGACGAUCAGUAUCCGGCCUGAGAGGGCGUACGGACACACUGGGACUGAGACACGGCCCAGACUCCUACGGGAGGCAGCUGUGGGGAAUUGUUCACAAUGGGCGCAAGCCUGAUGACGCAACGCCGCGUUGAGGAUGAAGGUCUUCGGAUUGUAAACUCCUGUUGCUCGGGAAGAAAAGUUCCGACCUAAUACGUCGGAGUCUGACGGUACCGGGUGAGGAAGCCCCGGUUAACUCUGUGCCAGCAGCCGCGGUAAUAAGGU